rnacentral:rRNA from 1 species
UACGUAGGUGGCAAGCGUUAUCCGGAUUUAUUGGGUGUAAAGGGCGUGUAGGCGGGAAUGCAAGUCAGAUGUGAAAACUCAGGGCUCAACCCUGAGCCUGCAUUUGAAACUGUAUUUCUUGAGUGCUGGAGAGGCAAUCGGAAUUCCGUGUGUAGCGGUGAAAUGCGUAGAUAUACGGAGGAACACCAGUGGCGAAGGCGGAUUGCUGGACAGUAACUGACGCUGAGGCGCGAAAGCGUGGGGAGCAGACAGG